rnacentral:sRNA from 1 species
UAUUCUGCCCUGCGGGGAAGGAUGAGAAGCUUCGACUUAGGUUCGACUCGAGCGUCAGCGAGAGAACGUUGCCGCAGGGAGAGGCGCUUUAGCGCCGAGUAAUCCUUCCCCCACCACCA